AAAAAUUUAGUUAAACUAUAACGUUAGCUUGUCAAGCUAAAAUUGCUAAAAAGCAAUUUUUA
rnacentral:tRNA from 1 species